AGGAGCGCAAACUUUUGGUCCUCAUCGGCCGGUGCCUGCAUUGACAGCCUGUAAACGGGUUGUUUUCGGUCCCGGUUAGAAUCACCUGGAGAGAUUUUUUUUUUUAACCCCGCCCCGGUAGCACCCCAGACCAACUAAAAGAGAAUUGAUACGGAAUGCGACCCAAUAUUUAUUAAAAUUCUAGGUGAUCCCAGUUUGCAGCCAAGGUGGGAGGGCCCUGCUCCAAAACCUCUGAGUAGGCAUAUAUCCCGAUUAUCACAUUAAGCGUCUACAGUUUAUUGGUGGGAGUAGCCCCACCGUAAAAAAUGGGGGCUGUGGCCUCGGAGCUACCCGAGGAUGUACUAGGACAAAGUAUCGGAUCCGCAAACGCACGGGGCAUGGGCUCUGCCCUAAAAGGCUUACCGGUCAGCUUGGCCAACUUGUAAGAUGUCUCUCUGUGCAGGACAAAUUUAAAGGUCAGCAUGUUCAAAAAGUUCACGGAAGUUAGGACUCUGGUUAAGAGAAUGUGACCGGAUCGCCCUGUGAUUCUGGAACUUAAAAAUCUCUGGUAGAAAACCCAUCUACCUUUCACUUCUUUCCCUUGCUGGAAGGAGAGAGAAGCGAUAGAACCUUCCAACUUUAACAAGCCCUAUCUUCUUGCCCUCUCUCUGGAUAUCCCCUGGGAAGUACCAGAGGUAGACUAAUUCCUUCAGCAACAAAGAUUUGAAGCACUUGUUCUGUGGCUCUGUUCUUGACUCCUAUCUGAUGCUUACCCUGCCCCCUCUCAGAGGUAGGCUUUUUCCCUUGCCUUUGCUACAGUUUAGCAUCACCCCCAAAUUCUUCUGGAGGCAACAUUUUGAAGCACAUGAAAAGGACUGUCAGCGGAGGAGUCACUCGGUGCUAGCAGACAGAGGAGAGUAGAAGCAUUCCCAGAGAAUUUCCCAGAAGGUGAAGAAACUGGGCCGGUCUACUGAGGCUCAGUUUUCUUGGAGCCCACCAGAUGUGACGCUUCUAGUCUGCCGUGGUACGAAGCCACUACAUAGUGUGAGAAUCUUGUGACUGUCUGGCUGAUGGGAUAAAACUCCUCUCUCAGAGCUCCAAGAUCUGUUUGCUCACUUUGGGUGCUUUUUCCCCUCAGUCUUGCUGAGUUAACAUUUAUACAGAAUCGCCUGAAAUCAAAUUGUAGAGAUCUUCUCUUCAGUGUAUUGCAAUGACCUUCUUAGCUGACCUUCAAGUAAUUUAACCCAUGUCCUAAUGUUCAAUUAAAAUUGCAUCAAAUAGGUGAAAUUGGAUUUUCUUUGCAUUUUGUUCAAGCUUUCCUUACCUAGGCA